rnacentral:lncRNA from 1 species
CUGUACCUAUUUGUUGAUGAUAUGAUGCAUGUAUCAUGUAAAUCUUUUGAAACGAUAAAAUAAUUAAUAAUACUAAAUAUUUUGAUUUUGAUUUUAUCGUAGAUUUCUUUGAGAAAAUGGCCAGUACUCGAGUUUGUGUACUAUUGUAUUAUGAUAGCAUGAUACAGAAUGAUGAAACUGGUAUGCAGUACAGUCACCCUGCA